rnacentral:tRNA from 1 species
AGCUCCGAGGUGUUACCACGUAAGAUUGCAAAUCUUAAGUAGCAGGUUGACCCCUGCCGGGGCUU